rnacentral:rRNA from 1 species
CCUACGGGCGGCUGCAGUGGGGAAUAUUGGACAAUGGGGGGAACCCUGAUCCAGCCAUGCCGCGUGUGUGAAGAAGGCCCUCGGGUUGUAAAGCACUUUCAGUGAGGAAGAACGCCUGGUGGUUAAUACCCAUCAGGAAAGACAUCACUCACAGAAGAAGCACCGGCUAACUCCGUGCCAGCAGCCGCGGUAAUACGGAGGGGGCGAGCGUUAAUCGGAAUUACUGGGCGUAAAGCGCGCGUAGGUGGCUUGAUAAGCCGGUUGUGAAAGCCCCGGGCUCAACCUGGGAACGGCAUCCGGAACUGUCAAGCUAGAGUGCAGGAGAGGAAGGUAGAAUUCCCGGUGUAGCGGUGAAAUGCGUAGAGAUCGGGAGGAAUACCAGUGGCGAAGGCGGCCUUCUGGACUGACACCGACACUGAGGUGCGAAAGCGUGGGUAGCAAACAGGAUUAGAUACCCCAGUAGUC